GAACAGGAAACUAACAUUCAUUGGGUAAGAAUCAUCAUGCUAGAAGCCUUGACAAGAUUGCCUUAUACAUACAGCAAUUUUAUGAAGUACUAUUCAAACCAACAUCCAUUUAAAGAGGAGGAAAUAGACCCAGAGAAGUUAAUCAACUUGCCGGUGGCGACACAGCACACCCUUGGAUGAAUCAUUUUCAUCUCUGAGAGUCUCCACCGUUUUGUCAGCCCCUACAAGCGGGUGCUCAGCAGAGAAGAUAAAGCCUUGGACAAGGCCCACCUCAACGGACCUGCAGUUGAACAUGGAAAUCAGACCUGGAUCGGAAGGUCCUCCGACUGUUUGGGGGGAGUGUGUACAGAAGACGGCGGGGCACUAAGAAAGAAGGUCCACACAUCUGAGGGGCUGUUAGGAAAGUUCCUUAAGAGCUCAGAGUUGCUGAGUUCUAGGUUCUGGAAAAUUGAACCUCUGGCCUCUUUUCUCCUAAAUUCCCCUGCAGGGAGCCCUCCAGUCUGCUGGCCUGGACUCCUGAGUUCCCGAGUCUACAGCAGAGGGGGCUUGGCCUCUCCGAGGAGCUGUCACAGAUAAACAGCAAGCUCUUAUAAAGCCUUCCUGAGAGCAACUGGGACCUGCAGACUAUUUUCUAGGUGUCAAGCUCUCUACUUACCUCACUAACCACAGACGAAUUACUGAACCUCUGAAGCCUGAUACCCUCAUUUAAAAAAAAAAGGUGCAGUUUGGGCCCACCAUCCAUUAACCACCAUUCGGAAAUUGCCAAAACUCUAAGACCAGAAGUUCUAUCAAAAUUCUUUUCAUGGCAAAACUUGAACUGACACGAGGCUCAAAGUCUUUUUAUUUAUUUAUUUUUAAGAUCCCGUGAGUACAGCUAUUCAUGUUUCAGUGCAGAAAUAUUGACGUGUUUGAUGACCGUGGACCAUCUGAGCACUCUGGGAAUGUUAAGAAAAAUAUACCACGUGAACUGUAUUUUCUUCCUUAAACCUGAACACUUCUGAAUUCUGAAAUGCAUGCUGAAUCCAAGGGGUUCAUUUUAGAGAUUCUGAUCCCAUCGGUUUAAGACCUGUUUCAUGGGAUCUCUGGGCUUAGAAUGCCCUUCCCCCCUCACCUGUCUGGAUAACAUCCACAGACAUUUCAAAUGUCAUCAUGAGUGAAUGAAUAAAGGAACCUACCAAUUUGUCUUGCUA